rnacentral:rRNA from 1 species
GAUCCCAUCCCGAACUCGGCAGUGAAACGCACCCGCGCCGAUGAUAGUGUGGGGCUUCCCCAUGCGAAAGUAGGUCAUCGCCAGGC